rnacentral:lncRNA from 1 species
CUGUCUUGUCUUAAGAAUGAAGAGUGAAUUGACAAAAAGUGCGAUGAGUCAUCAGGACUUGAUGAAUGUGGAAUUUAGAUGAUAGAGAGUCAAAGCUCUCACUGAUACUUUUCCAAACUGGGUAAAUGUGAAAGUUGUUGCAAUACCAACAGAAGCAGAGAAGUGAGAAGUUACAAUAUGUCUGAGGGGGGCGGGGACACAUUAUGUCUUUGAUUUUAAAUGUUCCCCAUUUGAUGUGUUGGCUGAGGAAAUGUCCAACAGGCACUUGUGAAUCUUGAACUGAAAUUGGGGGUGGGAGACUGAGUUGGAGAUCUAGCUUGGGAGUUAUAUGGAGCAAGAUGCCAUUUGGAUUUGUGAGUAUGGUAAGACAUCUGAAGGACAACGUGCAGAAUGAGAGAAGAGCAGACAGGUAAAAACAGAUCUCUGGGGAGUGCUACAUGGCGGAGAAGCAGAGAAGUUGUGAAAGAAGACCCCAAGAUAGAGGAGACAACGCAGUCGUGUAGUUUCACGUAAGUAGGUACUCAGGAGAGGCGGCUUGAUCAACUGAGAGCUGACUCCAGGCUGCCAGUGCAGAAGUGAAAAGUCUGCUGCUAGAACUCGUUGCUGGGGAACGAAGGCCACGGUGUGGAUGUGCAAGAUAGGCUGCUCCGAAGGUUAUCACUCCAGGGCCCGUCAGAUGUCCCUGCUCAUCCGGAGACUGCUGCACGAUUUAACACCACUGAUGACCAAAGAGUGACCUUGGCCAAAGCGGGAGCAAGUGUCUCAAGAUCUUCGGAGAGCUGUUUAGAUCAGCAAAGAGUCGCUUUGCCCAGACUGAACACUGUUGGAUUCUUAAAGCAAAGUGAUGCAACUUAAAUAAAUUCACGUUGAAAGUAAAAGUUAGAAGAGGAGACGUUUUUCAGGAUCUUCGUUCGCGUCUAUGAUGCUCAUUGUGACUCUGAUUUCCUGGAGAUAAUAGCCAUGCUCAACAAUAUGACACCCAAAACACAAGUGACGAAAGCAAAAACCAAGUGGAACUACAUCAAGCUAAAAGCUUCUGCAAAGCAGAAGAAACAAACCAAAAAAUGAAGAGGAAACCUACAGAAUGGGUGAAAAUAUUUACAAACCAUAUAUCUGAUAAGGGGUUAACAUCC